GGGGGGGGGGGGGGGGGGGGGGGGGGGGGGGGGGGCGGGCGGGGGGCGGGGCAAGGCUUGCGUUGGUGUGGUGGGAGGGGCGCACGGGUGCGUAACGCGUGGGCGACCUACCCUUGUCAGGGGGGUAGCCCGGCGGACGUCGGAUUAAUACCGCGUGCCCUCAUUUGGUGGCCUCUUUCGAUGCUCAACGCUUUAUCGGCCAAGGUUGGGCUCGCGUGACAUUAGCUUGUCGUUAAUGUAACGGCGUACCCAGGCUGCGAUGUCUAGGUGCUUUGAGAGGAGAAUCCCCCACACUGGUACUGAGACACGGACCAGGCUCCGACGGGAGGCAGCAGUAAGGAAUAGUGGGCAAGGGACGGAAGUCUGAACCAGCCAUGCCGCGUGCAGGAGGACGGCCCUAGGGGUUGUAAACUGCUUUUAUACGGGAACAAACGUCGGUACGUGUACCGGUCGGAGUGUACCGUAAGAAUAAGAAUCGGCUAACUCCGUG
rnacentral:rRNA from 1 species